rnacentral:rRNA from 1 species
ACUCCUACGGGAGGCAGCAGUGGGGAAUAUUGCACAAUGGGCGCAAGCCUGAUGCAGCCAUGCCGCGUGUAUGAAGAAGGCCUUCGGGUUGUAAAGUACUUUCAGCAGUGAGGAAGGUGGGUAUGUUAAUAGCAUACUCAUUUGACGUUAGCUGCAGAAGAAGCACCGGCUAACUCCGUGCCAGCAGCCGCGGUAAUACGGAGGGUCCAAGCGUUAUCCGGAAUCACUGGGUUUAAAGGGUGCGUAGGCGGAUAACUAAGUCUAAGGUGAAAGUCUGUGGCUUAACUAUAGAAUUGCCUUGGAUACUGGUUAUCUUGAAUUGGGUUGAGGAUGGCGGAAUGUGACAUGUAGCGGUGAAAUGCAUAGAUAUGUCAUAGAACACCGAUUGCGAAGGCAGCCAUCUGGGCCUUGAUUGACGCUGAGGCACGAAAGCGUGGGGAGCGAACAGGAUUAGAUACCCUGGUAGGAUAG